ensembl:lncRNA
CUGUUGUUAAGAUCCUUUAUUUUAUUUAUUUCUUUUUGGCUGUGCCUCACAGCAUGUGGGAUCUUAGUUCCCCCACCAGGAUCGAACCUGCGCCCCCUGCCUUGGAAGUGUGGGGUCUCAACUGCUAGACCACUGAGGAAAUUUCCAGAAAUGUGGGUACUUUUUAAUCCUGUUUCUUCAUCUACACAAUGAGAGUGAUAAUAUGUUUCUGACCAGAGGAUGAGGGUGAAAUACAGUCCUAGCCUCAGAUGUGCCGUGUAACCUGAAGUACCAUAAAGAUGCUGGUUGUUAGUGGUGAUGACUUGACCCUUGUCCUUGAGGAAUGAUCAUAGGACCUGGUCCAGGGGUGCUGCAGUUAGCUUGCACCAGCUCUGGAGAGUUGAUUCUGCCCAUCUCUUCCUGACUCCAGGUCUGCUGGCCCUCGAGUUGUCAGAGACCCGUGGGGUUGGCAGCUUCUUGGAGGCCCAUGUUCUCAUGGUCCGUGUGGACCCAGGAAGGGGAGGAGGGCAGGAUAGCUCCCCCGAGGCCACCCUUGUGUUCACCAACGGGUGAAGCCCAGUAUUGCAUUCCCAGUCCUGAGUCUGUGCAACGCCACUGUCUCCCAGCUUUAAUUUUUUUUUUUUUAAUUGCUGGCUGGGGAAUAAUGGCACCUGGCUGCAGUAAGCUGGUUUAGGGACAGUUAAGGCUGCAAUAAGCUAGUUUAAGUUUAAGGGCACCCCUAACCCCAGGCACCCAGGAGCUGGAGUAAGUUACGAGGAUGGGCUACUCUUAGCCACGAGACAUGCUGCUAGAAGAUGGGCCCUCCUGGUGUGCAAGAGGCAAAAGGUAUUUUAGGCUGCCUUUCCCACCUGCACCUCAUUGCAUUAUGGACCAGCCAGUGUCCAGUAUGGCCGAGCUGACAUUUUUCAGCAUCGGCUCCACGUUCCAUUUGAUAAGAUACUGAAAAUCGCCACCCUGGGAGAUGGAGAGCUGGGAUCCAGUGUCCACUCUGGUUAGGAAGUCAGCUGUGUGAGGCAG